rnacentral:rRNA from 1 species
GUAAAGGCAAAAGAGAGCUUGAUUGCAAGACAUACAGGUCGAGCAAGGAUGAAAAUCGGACUUAGUGAUCCGGUGGUUCUGCGUGGAAGGGCCAUCGCUCAACGGAUAAAAGCUACCCUGGGGAUAACAGGCUUAUCUCCCCCAAGAGUCCACAUCGACGGGGAGGUUUGGCACCUCGAUGUCGGCUCAUCACAUCCUGGGGCUGUAGUAGGUCCCAAGGGUUGGGCUGUUCGCCCAUUAAAGUGGUACGCGAGCUGGGUUCAGAACGUCGUGAGACAGUUCGGUCCCUAUCCGUCGCAGGCGUAGGAAAUUUGAGAAGACCUGUCCUUAGUACGAGAGGACCGGGAUGGACGUACCUCUGGUGUACCAGUUGUCCUGCCAAGGGCAUGGCUGGGUAGCUAUGUACGGAAUGGAUAAGCGCUGAAAGCAUCUAAGCGCGAAGCCAACUUCAAGAUAAGAUUUCCCACCGCAAGGGUAAGACCCCAGAAAGACUAUCUGGUUGAUAGGUCGAAGGUGUAAGUGCAGCAAUGUAUUUAGCUUAUCGAUACUAAUAGGUCGAGGACUUGACCAAU